AUUGAACGCUGGCGGCAUGCUUUACACAUGCAAGUCGAACGGCAGCGCGGGCUUCAGCCUGGCGGCGAGUGGCGAACGGGUGAGUAAUGCAUCGGAACGUGCCCAGUAGUGGGGGAUAGCCCGGCGAAAGCCGGAUUAAUACCGCAUACGACCUGAGGGUGAAAGCGGGGGACCGAAAGGCCUCGCGCUAUUGGAGCGGCCGAUGUCGGAUUAGCUAGUUGGUGGGGUAAAGGCUUACCAAGGCGACGAUCCGUAGCUGGUCUGAGAGGACGACCAGCCACACUGGGGCUGAGACACGGCCCAGACUCCUACGGGAGGCAGCAGUGGGGAAUUUUGGACAAUGGGGGCAACCCUGAUCCAGCCAUGCCGCGUGCGGGAAGAAGGCCUUCGGGUUGUAAACCGCUUUUGUUCGGGAAGAAAUCCUCUGGGCUAAUACCCCGGGGGGAUGACGGUACCGGAAGAAUAAGCACCGGCUAACUACGUG
rnacentral:rRNA from 1 species